rnacentral:rRNA from 1 species
UACAGAGGGUGCGAGCGUUAAUCGGAAUUACUGGGCGUAAAGCGCACGUAGGCGGCUUGGUAUGUCGGGUGUGAAAUCCCCGGGCUCAACCUGGGAACUGCAUCCGAAACUGCCUUGCUCGAGUAUGGGAGAGGGAAGUGGAAUUUCCGGUGUAGCGGUGAAAUGCGUAGAUAUCGGAAGGAACAUCAGUGGCGAAGGCAGCUCGCUGGAGCGGUACUGACGCUGAGGCGCGAAAGCGUGGGGAGCAAACAGG